AACCUGCCCAGCAGAGCGACCCGUGAACACGUUCAACCUCGUGGGUGUUGGGGCGACGCUYGGUGCCUCGUGUGCCGGCCCGUCCCUCUCCCAAGCCGGGGGAGCGCUCACUUGUGGGCUGUUUCCCCGGCAAAACAACGAACCCCGGCGCGUAAUGCGUCAAGGAAUACAAACAUUAUGUGUGUGCUCUCCCGUCGCCCGGUUAGCCGGGCGUUGGAGCGGUGCCAUGUCUUAACAAUAAACGACUCUCGGCAACGGAUAUCUCGGCUCUCGCAUCGAUGAAGAACGUAGCGAAAUGCGAUACUUGGUGUGAAUUGCAGAAUCCCGUGAACCAUCGAGUUUUUGAACGCAAGUUGCGCCCGAAGCCUUUGGCUUAGGGCACGUCUGCCUGGGCGUCACGCAUCGCGUCUCCCCCAAAUCCACCCUGAGUGGAGGGGAAGGAGGAUGGUCUCCCGUGACUCACCGGUCGCGGCUGGCCUAAAAUUGGAGCCCUCGGCAUCGGGAUGCCAUGGCGAUAGGUGGUGAACAAGGCCUCGGCCAAGCAAGCAACCCGCCGCGCGUCGCGAUGCCAACGUGAGCUCGAAGGACCCUUUUAGUUGCCUYAYGGCAACCUAACCGUUGCGAC
rnacentral:rRNA from 1 species